rnacentral:rRNA from 1 species
UACAGAGGGUGCGAGCGUUAAUCGGAAUUACUGGGCGUAAAGCGCGCGUAGACGGUUUUGUAAGUCAGAUGUGAAAUCCCUGGGCUCAACCUGGGAACUGCAUUUGAGACUGCAUGGCUAGAGUAUGGAAGAGGGAAGUGGAAUUUCCGGUGUAGCGGUGAAAUGCGUAGAUAUCAGGAGGAACACCAAUAGCGAAGGCAGCUCGCUGGGACGGUACUGACGCUAAGGCGCGAAAGCGUGGGGAGCGAACAGG